rnacentral:rRNA from 1 species
AUAUCAAUAAGCGGAGGAAAAGAAACCAACAGGGAUUGCCCCAGUAACGGCGAGUGAAGCGGCAACAGCUCAAAUUUGAAAUCUGGCCCCCCCCGCGGGGCCCGAGUUGUAAUUUGCAGAGGAUGCUUUUGGCGCGGCGCCUUCCGAGUUCCCUGGAACGGGACGCCAUAGAGGGUGAGAGCCCCGUCUGGUCGGACGCCCAGCCACUGUAAAGCUCCUUCGACGAGUCGAGUAGUUUGGGAAUGCUGCUCUAAAUGGGAGGUAUAUGUCUUCUAAAGCUAAAUACUGGCCAGAGACCGAUAGCGCACAAGUAGAGUGAUCGAAAGAUGAAAAGCACUUUGAAAAGAGGGUUAAACAGUACGUGAAAUUGUUGAAAGGGAAGCGCUUGUGACCAGACUUGGGCGCGGCGAAUCAUCCGGCGUUCUCGCCGGUGCACUUCGACGCGCCCGGGCCAGCAUCAGUUCGCGGCGGGGGACAAAGGCGCCGGGAACGUGGCUCCCCCGGGAGUGUUAUAGCCCGGCGCGCAAUGCCCCGCGGCGGACUGAGGUUCGCGCAUCCGCAAGGAUGCUGGCGUAAUGGUCACCAGUGACCCGUCUUGAAACACGGACCAAGGAGUCGUCCUCGUAUGCGAGUGUUCGGGUGUCAAACCCCUACGCGCAAUGAAAGUGAACGCAGGUGAGAGCCUCACGGCGCAUCAUCGACCGAUCCUGAUGUUCUCGGAUGGAUUUGAGUAAGAGCAUACGGGGCCGGACCCGAAAGAAGGUGAACUAUGCCUGUGUAGGGUGAAGCCAGAGGAAACUCUGGUGGAGGCUCGCAGCGGUUCUGACGUGCAAAUCGAUCGUCAAACAUGGGCAUGGGGGCGAAAGACUAAUCGAACCUUCUAGUAGCUGGUUUC